rnacentral:sRNA from 1 species
AUUAAGAUGCGUUAAAGAUAGAGGCGGCAUCCUCCCAACUUGCUUGGGAGAUACAGCCGAAAGCUUGGUCCUUA